GUUAGAUUUUGAAAGAGAGAAAAAAAAAAGAAAAAAAUGGACGGGGCCGACGGGACGUCACGAUGCGCCGUCGCCACAAAGCUCAAUACGCCGCUCAUGAACGCGCUCACUUGGCUCCCAGCAUGCCGCACGUCCGGAGGGACCGCUGCCUACCAGGAGCUCAACCAAACCCGCAUCUGCAUCUGAGGAGGACACAAAACGUUCACCUGAAAGACCAAGAAAUGAAGACGAUGACUUCAUCCGACCUCCAGGUGCGUCCGACGUUGUGCGUCACUGAGAGCUGCGUCCGCAGGCCUGAGGGGUUGUCUGUUAUCUUUGGUUAUCUAGCUGUAUGAGUGACGUACAUUCUUCAUAAAGCUAGAUAACCGAAAGUAACAAGAAUCCCAUUACACGCCUGCACGGAGGAAGGAAAAGCUAAAUAAAACGAACAAGCGCCAGCAGCAGAGAGGAGUGGGCUCGGACGAUGCCAGCCGAUGACGUGAAGGUGUGUGAUCCAUCUGGAGUUGGGAAUCAUCUGAUUUUUGCCCCUCCGCUCUUUGGACUGUGAGUCACACAGGACUACGUCGUUUACUGCUGAUAUACUGGCGGAGAUGCACGGAUUCUUGGAAAGCAGCUGUCUCCAACGACCUGACAGUGGACAGAGUUAAAACUGUCAGUGGAUACAGGAGUCAGUUUUUGCUGCUGCUGCUGCUGCUGCUGCUGCUGCGACAGAACAUCUUAGUGACGAAGAAGCAAACCAGAAGACUUUGAUACAAGUGGACAAACUGACAUUUGACCGUCACAAGGCUGAAACUGUGAGAGUAAAGGACUUCUAAGUGGAUCUGUGUGUGUGUGUGUGUGUGGUACACUGUGUUCUUGGGAGCUGCACUGCACAGCUGUUCAGGAAACAUCUGCACUAGAUUUUCAUGUAGGUCAGAGAUUAGAUCACUCGAUCUUGAUCUCUCUCUCUCUGUCUCUCUCUCUCUCACACACACACACACACACACACACACACACACACACACACACACACACACACCAUCUAACAAAUUGUUGCAAUGUUUUUAAUUAUUAGUUUAGUUCACUAGUUAAACAAUAGAUGCUCUUAAUAUGUUAGAUCUUAAAUUGUUGAUUUUUUAAAUGUAGUUUUGCAUGUUCAUUUAUCUUUUCUUUUCACUUAUCUUUUAAAUCCUAGCGAAUUAGCGAUUACAUUUAUGUAUUUGUCUCAUGUUAAACUUUAGAUGUUUCAGUUGAGUUGUUGACAAUCUGUGUGACUGGAGUACUUGAAUGACUUGAAAUUAUUUUUCUGGAGCAGUGUCAAAAAUGUUGAUCCAUCAACUAUGAAUUUCAUAUCAAUCCUUUACUGUUUUUAUAUAGCAGGUUUUGUUUUUUCGCAAUUUACCAUCUCAUAACUGUAUACGAGAGUACAUUCCGAUUUAACCGCAGUAUAACCUUUGUUAAUCCAGAUGAUUUACAGUACAAAAUGAUUUGGUGGUUUAAAUAAGGUCUUGUAAAUUUUAUUCAAAAGCCACCAAUCACUACAUAACAUUUUUUACUCUGUGUAUAAUACCUUUAGAUGGGGGCAUAAUUUCAUUGCAACAUGUAAUCAUUUUUAUCAAAUUGUGUUUUUACUUUUAGUGUAUGUCUAAUCAAGAGAGUUUUGUGCAAUUAUAACUACAGUAUAUUAACUUUUUUAUCUAUGCAAAAGAAAUGAGUGACAGUUUUUGUUAUGUUUGCACUAUUUGUGUGAGUGUUUGCGCGUCAGCAGCUAAUGUACGGGUUUGUCUGAGAGGAACGUGGUGAAUGCUGAUGUUUUAUGAAUAUGCAUGAUAUGAGCAGAGGUGCAAUGUGUGUGUUGUGCUGUUGUUAAAGAGUGUUUUUUUAUGUUUUAUUUGACAAUCAGUCAGAUAAAGAAAUCUGGAUUUAUUCCACAACCCCACAUUUUAAUUCCACAUUUUGUUUGUUGAAUCAUCUCUGACAGUUUAUUAUGAUUACGCGAAUGCACUGAAUGAGUUUUGUUUUGAUCUAAUGCUGGAGAACUUGCGGAUAUGUGCAAUACUAUUUUAGAGGGAUUCAUGUAACUGAUUUUAUCAUAAUGCACUAUGAUCUUCUGUUUCGGGAGUCUUAUAAGCUUGAUUUGCACACGAGCUGCUGUUAAUGCGCUCGAUAUUUGUUGUACUAUGCAACUGUGUCUUCUGCAGUUAAUCAAUAAAAGUACUAAUGUUUAC